rnacentral:rRNA from 1 species
AAUGAACGUUGGCGGCAUGGAUUAGGCAUGCAAGUCGGGGGAAUCCCAGCAAUGGGGGAACCGGCGUAAGGGGCAGUAAGGCAUGGGUACCUACCUUGGGGUUCGGGAUAGCCAUCAGAGAUGGUGGGUAAUACCGGAUGACGUCGUGAGACCAAAGAUUUAUCGCCCUUAGAGGGGCCCAUGUGAUAUUAGCUAGUUGGUGGGGUAACGGCCCACCAAGGCGAAGAUGUCUAGCGGGUGUGAGAGCACGACCCGCGCCACUCGCACUGAGACACUGGCGGGACACCUACGGGUGGCUGGAGUCGAGGGUCUUCGGCAAUGAGCGCAAGCUUGAACGAGGGAUGCCGCGUGAGCGAUGAAGGCCUUCGGGUUGUAAAGCUCUUUAGUGGGGGAGAAAAGCCGCAAGGUGUGAUCUAUCCCAAAAAUAAGCACGGGCUAAGUUCGUGCCAGCCGCCGCGGUAA